AGCGCCGCCGCCGCCGCAUUCUUCGUGGCUUCGCCCUAGCUUCUCUCUCGCUCUUCCGCCGCCGGCCGCUCCGCCCACUCGCAACCUCACCGUAUUUCCUUGAUGAGUCGAUUCUCCACCCAGCUAGCGCCGCGGCUAGGGUAUCCUCCUCUGCCCGGUGCCCGCAACCCUAACGCAGCUUCAUGGCUUCACUCCGGACCAGAAGCCAAGAUAGAUCUGUUGGAGACCAGGUUUUUUCGUCCAAGUAAAUUGAUUAGAAGUUCAUACGCUCCGAUCCAUGGGGGCGGCUGCUUCGUCCAGGACCAGAAAGCUUGAUAUAUACUCCAAUUGGACGAAUAUAUGAACCUAGCAUGCUGGUAACUAAGUACGUGCCUUUGAAUUCUUGGCAGUUCGCAGCUAGCAGCAUCGCACUAAGAGAGGAAAAACUAUCUAUCAUGCAUCUGGAGGUGCAAUCUAAUCCAAGAUGGAUAUCAAUCAGGUGGAUGUAUCGUUCGAAACAAGGAUGGAUGUAUAAGUGGAGUAGUCGCGGCCAUUUUUAUCUUUCUUUUUCACGCGGCAAAGGAAUCCUAUAAUGGCCUUUGCAGUUGCACCAACAAUACUAAGGUAUGUUUCUGUCGGUGUUUUUUCUCAAGAGAAAAGGUUUCUCGGCUGCAUCCAUUUUCUGUUAAGCUGUGUGCGUUCGCUGGAAGAGGAGGAAGACGAUAGAUCGCAACAUCUGGGCCUGGCAGCGUUGCGACAGAAAUGGGCCAGGGAAAGAUACGUGUGGGCUAUGGGCCGCACCAUCGAUUUAGGUUUGUAUGUGUCGUCUGCUGCAUGUGGGCUCCGAACUUGGCCCAACUUAGGUUUCAUGGAUUUUCCUCUGCGCUGGGCACUGGCGAAGCCUGCGGGAACUACUGUUUCAAAGAAUAUCGCAUUUAUCAUAUGGAAUAAAUCGAAAUUAGAAUGGAAACUAAAUGAAAAUGAGAAAUUAAAUGAAAUGCUGACGUGGAUAGGCUGCUUGUGCAGCUUGCAAAAUUAAUUGCACUUAGUGGGCUUCAACUUUUUUAUUCCUCUGUGUUGUAUCUUUUGUACGACCCACACACCAUCAUCUCUCUAUAAAUAGGAGCCAUGCGUAUCAGGCAAUCCAUCAAUCCAAGCAAGCCCUCAAAACCAGCCAGCCAUCCAAAUUAACCAAGUAGACACAAAAACCAUCCAGCCAUGGCAAGCAACAAUGGUCAUUUGUGUCCUCGUACUGUGGCUAGUUCUGGAGCAGGUCCAAGUAGAGGGGAAGAGCUAGUUGCUGCAAAACCACGAUUGCAAGAAACUGUUACAACCUCUGCCGUGCCGCAGGGGGUGCCCGACAAGUCUUUGCAAGUACUUGUGGAUGUAAAAUCAUAAGUGGCAAUAAAUGUCCGUCUAACUUUCGUAAAAUGGACCUUCUCCCUGAAUCCGGUGAACCAGAAGCCAUUAAGUACUGCAACAUCGGAUGUAGCUCUACCGUGUGUGACAACAUGAACCAUGUUUUUCGCGGCAAAGAGAUGAAAAUCAACGUGGAACUCUGCUUCGAUGCAUGUGUGAGUCUUUGUAACGGGACUGAGGCUGCCGUUGCAUCGGUUGCAGCCUAAUCAUGCAUGUGCAUGCAAGAUGUCCAAGGCCGAGAUCAUGUUGCUAAUUCAUGUUCAAUAAACUUGGAUCCUAUCAAUGGUAUCCAAGCAAGUGGGUGUCCUGUUAUUUCUGAACACGUGUUUCUAUUUCCUCAUUCCAACAAGAAUCUCAACGAGAAUAUAUUUGUACCCUUGGCCAAUUAAUAUGAAUACUACAACCAUGUAUUUUCUGUUACAUUUCAGUUUUUAUUUUUUCA